ACUAUUUUGUCAGAUUUAAUGUAUUGAUUUUAGGGAUCAAUUAUAUAUGUAUUAUAUAUUUAGUA
rnacentral:tRNA from 1 species